rnacentral:rRNA from 1 species
GAUGAACGCUGGCGGCGUGCCUAAUACAUGCAAGUCGAGCGAACAGAUGAGGAGCUUGCUCCUCUGACGUUAGCGGCGGACGGGUGAGUAACACGUGGAUAACCUACCUAUAAGACUGGGAUAACUUCGGGAAACCGGAGCUAAUACCGGAUAAUAUAUUGAACCGCAUGGUUCAAUAGUGAAGGACGGUUUUGCUGUCACUUAUAGAUGGAUCCGCGCUGCAUUAGCUAGUUGGUAAGGUAACGGCUUACCAAGGCAACGAUGCGUAGCCGACCUGAGAGGGUGAUCGGCCACACUGGAACUGAGACACGGUCCAGACUCCUACGGGAGGCAGCAGUAGGGAAUCUUCCGCAAUGGGCGAAAGCCUGACGGAGCAACGCCGCGUGAGUGAUGAAGGUCUUCGGAUCGUAAAACUCUGUUAUUAGGGAAGAACAAAUGUGUAAGUAACUAUGCACGUCUUGACGGUACCUAAUCAGAAAGCCACGGCUAACUACGUG